GAUGAACGCUGGCGGCGUGCCUAAUACAUGCAAGUCGAGCGAACGGACGAGAAGCUUGCUUCUCUGAUGUUAGCGGCGGACGGAUGAGUAACACGUGGAUAACCUACCUAUAAGACUGGGAUAGCUUCGUGAAACCGGAGCUAAUACCGGAUAAUAUUUUGAACCGCAUGGUUCAAAAGUGAAAGACGGUCUUGCUGUCACUUAUAGAUGUAUCCGCGCUGCAUUAGCUAGUUGGUAAGGUAACGGCUUACGAAGGCAACGAUGCAUAGCCGACCUGAGAGGGUGAACGGGCACACAGGAACUGAGACACGGUACAGACUCCGACGGGAGGCAGAGGUAGGGACUCUUCCGAGAUGGGCGAAAGACUGACGGAGCAACGCCGGGUGAGUGAUGAAGGUCUUCGGAUCGUAAAACUCUGUUAUUAGGGAAGAACAUAUGUGUAAGUAACUGUGCACAUCUUGACGGUACCUAAACAGAAAGCCACGGCUAACUACGUG
rnacentral:rRNA from 1 species